GCGGAUAGCUGGAAAACGCCCAGCCCUAGAUUCAGGUUCUAGUGAGAGCAAUCUCGUGGAGGUUCAAGUCCUCUCAUCCGCACCA
rnacentral:tRNA from 1 species